AGCGUACACGGUGGAUGCCUAGGCAGUCAGAGGCGAUGAAGGGCGUGCUAAUCUGCGAAAAGCGUCGGUAAGGUGAUAUGAACCGUUAUAACCGGCGAUACCCGAAUGGGGAAACCCAGUGUGUUUCGACACACUAUCAUGUCAUGAAUACAUAGUGGCAUGAGGCGAACCGGGGGAACUGAAACAUCUAAGUACCCCGAGGAAAAGAAAUCAACCGAGAUUCCCCCAGUAGCGGCGAGCGAACGGGGAGGAGCCCAGAACCUGAAUCGGCUUGUGUGUUAGUGGAAGCGUCUGGAAAGUCGCGCAGCAAAGGGUGAUAGCCCCGUACACUAAAAUGCACAGGUCGUGAGUUCGAUGAGUAGGGCGGGACACGUGACAUCCUGUCUGAAUAUGGGGGGACCAUCCUCCAAGGCUAAAUACUCCUGACUGACCGAUAGUGAACCAGUACCGUGAGGGAAAGGCGAAAAGAACCCCGGCGAGGGGAGUGAAAUAGAACCUGAAACCGUGUACGUACAAGCAGUGGGAGCACCUUCGUGGUGUGACUGCGUACCUUUUGUAUAAUGGGUCAGCGACUUAUAUUUUGUAGCAAGGUUAACCGUAUAGGGGAGCCGUAGGGAAACCGAGUCUUAACUGGGCGAUUAGUUGCAAGGUAUAGACCCGAAACCCGGUGAUCUAGCCAUGGGCAGGUUGAAGGUUGGGUAACACUAACUGGAGGACCGAACCGACUAAUGUUGAAAAAUUAGCGGAUGACUUGUGGCUGGGGGUGAAAGGCCAAUCAAACCGGGAGAUAGCUGGUUCUCCCCGAAAGCUAUUUAGGUAGCGCCUCGUGAACUCAUCUUCGGGGGUAGAGCACUGUUUCGGCUAGGGGGCCAUCCCGGCUUACCAAACCGAUGCAAACUCCGAAUACCGAAGAAUGUUAUCACGGGAGACACACGGCGGGUGCUAACGUCCGUCGUGAAGAGGGAAACAACCCAGACCGCCAGCUAAGGUCCCAAAGUCAUGGUUAAGUGGGAAACGAUGUGGGAAGGCACAGACAGCCAGGAUGUUGGCUUAGAAGCAGCCAUCAUUUAAAGAAAGCGUAAUAGCUCACUGGUCGAGUCGGCCUGCGCGGAAGAUGUAACGGGGCUAAACCAUGCACCGAAGCUGCGGCAGCGACGCUUAGGCGUUGUUGGGUAGGGGAGCGUUCUGUAAGCCGUUGAAGGUGGCCUGUGAGGGUUGCUGGAGGUAUCAGAAGUGCGAAUGCUGACAUAAGUAACGAUAAAGCGGGUGAAAAGCCCGCUCGCCGGAAGACCAAGGGUUCCUGUCCAACGUUAAUCGGGGCAGGGUGAGUCGACCCCUAAGGCGAGGCUGAAAAGCGUAGUCGAUGGGAAACAGGUUAAUAUUCCUGUACUUGGUGUUACUGCGAAGGGGGGACGGAGAAGGCUAGGCUGGCCGGGCGACGGUUGUCCCGGUUUAAGCGUGUAGGGGGUGUGACCUGGUAAAUCCGGUUACAUACUAACCCUGAGGCGUGAUGACGAUGCACUACGGUGCAGAAGUAGUUGAUGCCCUGCUUCCAGGAAAAUCCUCUAAGCUCCAGGUAACAUUAAAUCGUACCCCAAACCGACACAGGUGGUCAGGUAGAGAAUACCAAGGCGCUUGAGAGAACUCGGGUGAAGGAACUAGGCAAAAUGGUGCCGUAACUUCGGGAGAAGGCACGCUGGCAUGUAGGUGAAGUCCCUUGCGGAUGGAGCUGAAGCCAGUCGAAGAUACCAGCUGGCUGCAACUGUUUAAUAAAAACACAGCACUGUGCAAACACGAAAGUGGACGUAUACGGUGUGACGCCUGCCCGGUGCUGGAAGGUUAAUUGAUGGGGUCAGCCGCAAGGCGAAGCUCUUGAUCGAAGCCCCAGUAAACGGCGGCCGUAACUAUAACGGUCCUAAGGUAGCGAAAUUCCUUGUCGGGUAAGUUCCGACCUGCACGAAUGGCGUAAUGAUGGCCAGGCUGUCUCCACCCGAGACUCAGUGAAAUUGAACUCGCUGUGAAGAUGCAGUGUACCCGCGGCAAGACGGAAAGACCCCGUGAACCUUUACUAUAGCUUGACACUGAACAUUGAGCCUUGAUGUGUAGGAUAGGUGGGAGGCUUUGAAGCGUGGACGCCAGUCUGCGUGGAGCCAUCCUUGAAAUACCACCCUUUAAUGUUUGAUGUUCUAACUCGGCCCCAUAAUCUGGGGUGAGGACAGUGUCUGGUGGGUAGUUUGACUGGGGCGGUCUCCUCCCAAAGAGUAACGGAGGAGCACGAAGGUUAGCUAAUCACGGUCGGACAUCGUGAGGUUAGUGCAAAGGCAUAAGCUAGCUUGACUGCGAGAGUGACGGCUCGAGCAGGUACGAAAGUAGGUCUUAGUGAUCCGGUGGUUCUGAAUGGAAGGGCCAUCGCUCAACGGAUAAAAGGUACUCCGGGGAUAACAGGCUGAUACCGCCCAAGAGUUCAUAUCGACGGCGGUGUUUGGCACCUCGAUGUCGGCUCAUCACAUCCUGGGGCUGAAGUAGGUCCCAAGGGUAUGGCUGUUCGCCAUUUAAAGUGGUACGCGAGCUGGGUUUAGAACGUCGUGAGACAGUUCGGUCCCUAUCUGCCGUGGGCGUUGGAAGAUUGAGAGGGGUUGCUCCUAGUACGAGAGGACCGGAGUGAACGCACCACUGGUGUUCGGGUUGUCAUGCCAAUGGCAUUGCCCGGUAGCUAAGUGCGGAAAAGAUAAGCGCUGAAAGCAUCUAAGCGCGAAACUUGCCUCAAGAUGAGUCU
rnacentral:rRNA from 1 species